rnacentral:rRNA from 1 species
GACGAACGCUGGCGGCGUGCUUAACACAUGCAAGUCGAACGGAAAGGCCUUUUCGGAGGUACUCGAGUGGCGCACGGGUGCGUAACACGUGGGUGAUCUGCCCUGCACUCUGGGAUAAGCCUGGGAAACUGGGUCUAAUACCGGAUAGGACCGCACUUUAGUGUGUGUGGUGGAAAGUUUUUUCGGUGUAGGAUGAGCCCGCGGCCUAUCAGCUUGUUGGUGGGGUAAUGGGCUACCAAGGCGGCGACGGGUAGCUGGACUGAGGGGUUGGUCGGCCACAUUGGGACUGAGAGACGGCCCAGACUGCGACGGGAGGGAGAAGGGGGGAAUAUUGCAGAAGGGGCGCAAGCCUGAUGCAGAGACGCCGCGUGGGGGAUGACGGUCUUCGGGGUGUAAACUCCUUGCGCCAGGGACGAAGCGUUUUGUGACGGUACCUGGAGAAGAAGCACCGGCUAACUACGUG